rnacentral:rRNA from 1 species
UACGGAGGUGCAAGCGUUAAUCGGAAUUACUGGGCGUAAAGCGAGUGUAGGCGGCUGCAUAAGUCGGAUGUGAAAGCCCUGGGCGUUAACCUGGGAACGUGCAUUCGAUACUGUGCGGCUAGAGUCUGAUAGAGGGAAGUGGAAUUCCAGGUGUAGCGGUGAAAUGCGUAGAUAUCUGGAGGAACAUCAGUGGCGAAGGCGGCUUCCUGGAUCAAGACUGACGCUGAGGCUCGAAAGCGUGGGG